rnacentral:misc_RNA from 1 species
GUCGUACGAAAGAACGACUCACGACGCCGCUAGCACUCACGCAGGUCCGUGACGGUUCUCUCCGCUCUUAUUCGUAUCCUUCUUCGUGCUCUUCCUCCGACUCUGAAACGUUCUACGUAUCGUAAGAACGACGGCGGGUUGUCGAAGGCACCAAGGGACAGAGAGAGACAGAUAGAGAGGAACGACACGCAACGCAAGCAGUCUUAGGUUUACGUGAGCAACCCUCAGCCAGGCGUGGUCCAGGAAUUGUAUCCGUGGACCGCAAUGUGCGUUCGAAAUGUCGAUGUUCAUGUGUCCUGCAGUUCACACGUUGACGCGCAAU